rnacentral:rRNA from 1 species
GCGACGUCGGUGGCAGCGGCCGGUGUGAGACGGGGGGGGCGAACGUUGGUGGGAAUGACGGGGAGUGAAGAGCGGGUAGGCGGCAGCGCAAGGCGGGCGGGAAAUCCCACGGCUCAACCGUGGAAGUGCACUCGAAACUGCGCAGCUAGAGUCCUGGAGAGGAAGGUGGAAUGCUUGGUGUAGAGGUGAAAUUCGUAGAUAUCAAGCGGAACACCGGUGGCGAAGGCGGCCUUCUGGACAGUGACUGACGCUGAGACGCGAAAGCGUGGGGAGCAAACAGGAUUAGAUACCCCUGUAGUC